AGCCGUCUCUGCCAUCUCCUCUUCUUCGUCUCCAGCAAACCUAGCCGUCUCUGCCGUCUCCUCUUCUUCUCCAGACUCCAGUUCGGCAGUUCGUUGUUAAGAAAAAAAGACACAAACACAAACACAACUCUUCUAUUGUUCGUUGUUAAGAAAGUUGGAAUUAGAGCGAAGGUGUUGUUGAUGUUCUUCUUCUUCUUCAGCAGUUUAUUGUUUUCUAGGUUAAAUUAGGUUGUUUUUAUUGUUUUCUAGGUUAAAUUAGGUUGUUUUUAAAAAGAUUUCUUAGUUAUUGAAUUAAGCAAUUAAUGUUUUCUUUCUUUAGAAAUAUAGAUUUGGAUCAGUUCUGGAUUUGAAUGAUUUUUGAUUUUUGCCCACAAAUUAUAUGUUCAGCAGUUCAGUCGAUUUCUGGUAUUGAGGCGACAAUCACAAUUCUUUACAUAGUCAUAGGCAUUUAUAUUCAAACAAGAAUGGGAGAUAUGUAGUAGAACUAGAUCAGCUGAUAAUCAUCCACACCCAAAAAAAAUAUUCCAACCCUUUGAAAUGGCAUUCAGGCUUUUCUAUCAUAUGCAGAAGUUCUGCAAUAUUGGAAAAUUUGGGUAUAAUCGGAAAUAAUAGAAUUAGAGCUAUGUUCUGUGAAUAUAGUUAUGGGCUUAUGGCUAGUUAGGUUAGGUAGUAGAUAUGAUUUGCUUGAAAUCAUAUCACAUUCUUUCUACAUGACCAUUUAUAUAAAUAGAAAAGCACCAACUUCCCUUUGAAGCCAUAUAAAAAGCAUGGCAAUAAUGUCUGAACCCAACUAAGUUGUGACCUUCAGAACAUACAUAUACAUUGUGAGUUGUUGGAUGAGAUGCCGUGUACGAAAUCUUAUAAAAAAAAUGCUCAGAGUGUUUCAUCAGAACUAGUCACUUCCAUUUGGCAAAAGAGAAGCAGAGGUUGAUUGAUAGUUGAUCAAAGCAUCCUAUGUUAGACAUGUAUAUAUGUUUAGUUAUCUUAGGAUUGUGUUUUUAUUCACCUUAAAAAAUCUGUUUCUAGUCUAUCAAAAUUUGGUUCUUUAGUGGUUACCUAUUGAGAAAUAUGAUAACUUUGAAUUGAUUCUUUUUUAUGUUUAUGUCGUUAUACAAAUCAAUAGUUGUUGUUUUUUUAAUUUGAUUGUUUGUUUAUAAUGGCUGAAUUAUCUAUUUAUAUUUUUGUUGAGUUUCAAGUUUAAAAUAAGUUUGACGAUGUAAGUAUAUAGUAACAUCUUGAAUAGUUAUAAUUUUGUGUUAUCUUGUUUAACUUUAUGAAUUUUGUAUUACUUUUCUAAAUAUCAGUCUUAACGUGUGUGUUUGACUUUGAUUUCAGGUUAUGUUGUUGGCUUGUUGGAAUGUUGGAUUAUUGUGUUGGCUUAUUGGUAAUUGGUAAGAUCUUCAACUUAAGUUCAUUUUUUUCAUGUGAUCCAUGUGAAAUAAAAGGCUUACUAUCAUCUUAUUGCACGCAAAUGAUAUUAAGAAGAAGAUUGUGUAUUUGUGUAGACUAGCUAGUUGAUGCUCCUUUUCAUAUGUUGAUGCUCUUUUUCAGUUAUAUAUAUAAUAUGCUAUGUUAUCCAGGUGAUUAUGUUUUAUUCUUCGACAUUUACUGAUUGGAGAAUGGAGAAGGUCAUUAUGCUACAAAAAUAAUUUUUUUUUUCUUUUUAUUUUGUUUGCAGUUAGGUGAUGCAGUACAUUUAGUUUGUGGCCUUUCAAUUCAUUUUGGUGAUGCUCGGCUUAUGUUGACAGUUUGGUGAUGCUCAGUUUAUGUUAAUUUAGGGUUUAGUGAUGCAAAACAUUUUGGUGUUGUAAUUUGUUGUUUUUCCUCCAGUCAUGUUGGUUAUGAACUUUGUAACGUCGUAAUGGUUUGCUUUUUAUGAGAUUGUAAUAUUUUAAUUGGUGUGACGAUCUAGCUAGAUUAUUUGAUGUAUUUGACACUAUUUGAGGUGGUAUUUGGCAUUUUGGCCAUUUGGGAGGCUAUUUUUCAUUUAUUUCCUAUAAUCUGUUUUAUACCAGGAAUUCAGGAAAAAGCUGCAAACGAGCUCGAGCCU
rnacentral:lncRNA from 1 species